AGCGUUGUUCGGAAUUACUGGGCGUAAAGCGCACGUAGGCGGAUUGGAAAGUUGGGGGUGAAAUCCCGGGGCUCAACCCCGGAACUGCCUCCAAAACUAUCAGUCUGGAGUUCGAGAGAGGUGAGUGGAAUUCCGAGUGUAG
rnacentral:rRNA from 1 species